AGUGAACGCUGGCGGCAGGCCUAACACAUGCAAGUCGAACGGCAGCACAAGAGAGCUUGCUCUCUGGGUGGCGAGUGGCGGACGGGUGAGGAAUGCAUCGGAAUCUGCCCAUUUGUGGGGGAUAACCUCGGGAAACCGGGACUAAUACCGCAUACGACCUACGGGUGAAAGCAGGGGAUCUUCGGACCUUGCGCAGAUGGAUGAGCCGAUGCCGGAUUAGCUAGUUGGAGGGGUAAAGGCCCACCAAGGCGACGAUCCGUAGCUGGUCUGAGAGGAUGAUCAGCCACACUGGGACUGAGACACGGCCCAGACUCCUACGGGAGGCAGCAGUGGGGAAUAUUGGACAAUGGGCGCAAGCCUGAUCCAGCCAUGCCGCGUGUGUGAAGAAGGCCUUCAGGUUGUAAAGCACUUUUGUUGGGAAAGAAAAGCAGCCGGUUAAUACCCGGUUGUCAUGACGGUACCCAAAGAAUAAGCACCGGCUAACUUCGUG
rnacentral:rRNA from 1 species